CAGAAAGAAAGAGACUUUUAUUGACCAGGAAUGGCAGUAAACAAACAAGGAGGAGGACAAGUUUUAUAUACAUAUAUAUAUAUGUGUAUGUAUGUAUGUAUAAAGUCAUAUAUAUGUAUAUAUAAAAUCUUGCAAUUCCAAUUCUGGAAGAGAAAACAUCAUUCUUCUUCAAAGGAGAAAUUCACCCACUGACCUGGAGGCUGGCAGCCUAGAAGUUCAUAAACUCAGAAGCACCUUGUUCUGGAAUAAACUGGUUUGGAAACAGCUUCCAAUGGCUUCCCCGAGUUUGCUUUGCUGGUGGCAGCCCUUCGGCUCCAAGCUGGUAUAUAUAUGAAGCUCUUUGAACAAGUUUUUGCCCCUCUGCCCGUCAAGCCAGCAGUUACACUGGUAAGCUCAACCCCUUACAGCUGGGACAUACCCUGCAUGGUAUGAGGACAGCAAACAUGAGGUUGGUAACACGGAACCACGCUAGACUUCCUGUCGCAGCGGAACGGUGAAGAUGAUGAAAGG